rnacentral:rRNA from 1 species
GACGAACGCUGGCGGCGCUGCUUAACACAUGCAAGUCGAACGGAAAGGCCCUGCUUUUGUGGGGUGCUCGAGUGGCGAACGGGUGAGUAACACGUGAGUAACCUGCCCUUGACUUUGGGAUAACUUCAGGAAACUGGGGCUAAUACCGGAUAGGAGCUCCUGCUGCAUGGUGGGGGUUGGAAAGUUUCGGCGGUUGGGGAUGGACUCGCGGCUUAUCAGCUUGUUGGUGGGGUAGUGGCUUACCAAGGCUUUGACGGGUAGCCGGCCUGAGAGGGUGACCGGCCACAUUGGGACUGAGAUACGGCCCAGACUCCUACGGGAGGCAGCAGUGGGGAAUAUUGCACAAUGGGCGGAAGCCUGAUGCAGCAACGCCGCGUGCGGGAUGACGGCCUUCGGGUUGUAAACCGCUUUCGCCUGUGACGAAGCGUGAGUGACGGUAAUGGGUAAAGAAGCACCGGCUAACUACGUGCCAGCAGCCGCGGUGAUACGUAGGGUGCGAGCGUUGUCCGGAUUUAUUGGGCGUAAAGGGCUCGUAGGUGGUUGAUCGCGUCGGAAGUGUAAUCUUGGGGCUUAACCCUGAGCGUGCUUUCGAUACGGGUUGACUUGAGGAAGGUAGGGGAGAAUGGAAUUCCUGGUGGAGCGGUGGAAUGCGCAGAUAUCAGGAGGAACACCAGUGGCGAAGGCGGUUCUCUGGGCCUUUCCUGACGCUGAGGAGCGAAAGCGUGGGGAGCGAACAGGCUUAGAUACCCUGGUAGUCCACGCUGUAAACGGUGGGUACUAGGUGUGGGGUCCAUUCCACGGGUUCCGUGCCGUAGCUAACGCUUUAAGUACCCCGCCUGGGGAGUACGGCCGCAAGGCUAAAACUCAAAGGAAUUGACGGGGCCCCGCACAAGCGGCGGAGCAUGCGGAUUAAUUCGAUGCAACGCGUAGAACCUUACCUGGGUUUGACAUGGAUCGGGAGUGCUCAGAGAUGGGUGUGCCUCCUUUGGGGUCGGUUCACAGGUGGUGCAUGGCUGUCGUCAGCUCGUGUCGUGAGAUGUUGGGUUAAGUCCCGCAACGAACGCAACCCUUGUUCACUGUUGCCAGCACGUUAUGGUGGGGACUCAGUGGAGACCGCCGGGGUCAACUCGGAGGAAGGUGGGGAUGACGUCAAGUCAUCAUGCCCCUUAUGUCCAGGGCUUCACGCAUGCUACAAUGGCUGGUACAGAGAGUGGCGAGCCUGUGAGGGUGAGCGAAUCUCGGAAAGCCGGUCUCAGUUCGGAUUGGGGUCUGCAACUCGACCUCAUGAAGUCGGAGUCGCUAGUAAUCGCAGAUCAGCAACGCCGCGGUGAAUACGUUCCCGGG